rnacentral:rRNA from 1 species
UGCGCAGGCGGUUUUGUAAGACAGUGGUGAAAUCCCCGGGCUCAACCUGGGAACUGCCAUUGUGACUGCAAGGCUGGAGUGCGGCAGAGGGGAUGGAAUUCCGCGUGUAGCAGUGAAAUGCGUAGAUAUGCGGAGGAACACCGAUGGCGAAGGCAAUCCCCUGGGCCUGCACUGACGCUCAUGCACGAAAGCGUGGGGAGCAAACA